CCUACGGGGGGCAGCAGUGGGGAAUAUUGCACAAUGGGGGAAACCCUGAUGCAGCGACGCCGCGUGAGUGAAGAAGUAAUUCGUUAUGUAAAGCUCUAUCAGCAGGGAAGAAAAUGACGGUACCUGAGUAAGAAGCCCCGGCUAACUACGUGCCAGCAGCCGCGGUAAUACGUAGGGGGCAAGCGUUAUCCGGAUUUACUGGGUGUAAAGGGAGCGUAGACGGCAGUGCAAGUCUGGAGUGAAAGGCGGGGGCUCAACCCCGUCCGGCCGUUGAAACUGGGGGCCUUGAGUGGGCGAGAAGAAGGCGGAAUGCGUGGUGUAGCGGUGAAAUGCAUAGAUAUCACGCAGAACCCCGAUUGCGAAGGCAGCCUUCCGGCGCCCUACUGACGCUGAGGCACGAAAGUGCGGGGAUCGAACAGGAUUAGAUACCCGAGUAGUC
rnacentral:rRNA from 1 species